UCCCCGGUCUUGUCUGUGUGUAACAAAGGGGAUAAGAUCAUAAACACCAAUUGGAGACAGAGAAGGACGGGCGACAAUGGCAUCCACGGCUUCGGCUCUAUCGUGGAGUUCUUCUUCGUGGUUGCAUAGCUUCGGAGGAAACUUGAAUGAAGCCACUAAACUACCGAACAGAAGAACACCCUUGGUGGUUUUGGCUCAGAAGAAAGCCACCAAGACCCGCAAGAUAAUAUUGAAGGAAGACGUGACAGACCUGGGAAAGAAGGGGCAGCUGCUUGACGUGAAGGCUGGGUUUUACAGAAAUUAUCUACUACCCAUGGGCAAGGCUCAGAUUGUCACUGCCAGUCUGCUCAAGGAAAUGCGAAUGGAAGAGGAGAGAAUUGAGGCUGAGAAAAAACGGGUAAAAGAUGAGGCACAACAACUUGCUCUGAUCUUUGAAACGGUUGGAGCUUUUAAGGUAAAGCGCAAAGGCGGGAAGGGGAAACAAAUAUUUGGAAGUGUUACUGCUCAGGAUCUUGUUGACAUAAUUAAGGCUCAACUUCAGAGGGACGUGGACAAGCGAAUUGUUUCUCUUCCUGAAAUCCGGGAAACGGGAGAAUACAUUGCGGAGCUGAGACUUCACCCAGAAGUAACUGCUCGAGUGAGGUUAAAUGUGUUUGCCAACUAAGAAGGACCCAUUUAUGCCCCAGCCUCUGGAUAGAACAGUUGUGCUAGCAGCUUGCACAUUGGAGCUCAUGGGAGUAGACUUGGCACUGAUUCAGGAUGUCAUGCUAUUCUGCUGCGGUGAAAGUGUUCCAGACAGCGGGACCUGAUCUCUAGUUUGACUUCAAUAUUACUUAUUCAUGAAAUAAAGAAGUUUUAGUAUAUUGGAGAUUUGAAAUAAUUUUAUAUUGAUCCCCAUAAUUAGACUUGUCCAGCUUGCAUGACUGAAUCUUUUCCAACUAUGUAGAUUAUUUUUGUC